CUCAGUCUCUCGGCCGGGCCAAGGAGCUGCGGCCCCCCACGAUCUCAUUCUCAGCUGAUCGCUCCAGGACCCCCAGCUUGUCCCCUCAGGUCUCUUACGAGCCCUGGCCCUGCACCUUGGACCUUGGUUCCAAAUCCACUCUCUAGCAGCGUGUCACGGUACUUAAACUAUGCCAACCUGCCGCCAUCCUAUGGAGCGCUGCCUACUUUAUUUUUCAAAGUGAAAGGAGCACCAGGCUUUUCUGACGCGUGGAGAACUUUCGCUAGACCCUCUUUACUUUGCAGAGCUGCCCCAGCGGAGCCCAAAUCUCUAUACCAUCAGCGCCUUGCCACUGAAUCCUUAACUGUGGGCGAACCCCAAGGCUACACCAAGUGGCUAGGUGUUGAGUGUUGGAGACAAGGAACAAUUAACAUUGAGACAAAAGCUGGGUGGAUACCAUCUCCCAUCUCCAUAGAGUUCAUUCUUGACCUUACCUGGGAUGAUGCCCAUGCCUCCAUUGGACAAAAUUAGAAUCCCUCACUAGAUUUCACUUGGUACUUCCAACUGCUUGGUUCACUGAGUACUGGGUAAAGUAGCAUUCUUUUGAUGGCCAACAUUUGGAAAUAGGCUUGGUCUUGAUCCCUUUGCUCAUCACUCCUCCAUCUCUGCAACUGGAUUCCAGGAGUUUGGCUCAAUGCUUAGCUGUGGAUCUCUGCUUCUGCUUCCAUCAGUUACUGGAUGAAGGCUCUAGGAUGGCAUUUAAGAAACACCUGACCUGAGCAAGUGGGAGCUCAUGGACCGAAGCCAGACAGCUGGGGGACCAGCAUAGAACCAAACUAGAUCUCUUGAUCUUAGGUACCAAUUAGGAGGCGUGGGCAGUCUAUGGGGCCUCUUGUGGUCUAACCAGUAUUUAUUCCAGCACGAAUGGACUUUGGGAGCCCAUUCCUCCAUGGAGGGAUACUCUCUCAGCCUAAAUACAUGGGGGGAAGGCCUAGGCCCUGCCUCAAAUGAUGUGAAAGACAUUGAUGGUCCCUCGUGGAAUGCCUCACCCUCCCUGGGGAGUGGAUACGGAGUAGGGGGAAUUUUGUGGGGACCAUGGGAGGAUGGGAGGGAGAGGGAACUGAGAUUGAUAUGUAAGAUAAGAUUGUUUCUAAUUUAAAUAAAAACACAGAAAAAAGA
rnacentral:lncRNA from 1 species